UCUAGCAGUGAUGACACUCUUGCCCUCACUGAGAACGUAGUUCAGUAAUGAGACUUGAUUUGUGCUCAAGUGUGCUGAGCUGGA